rnacentral:rRNA from 1 species
AUGGUAAUACUCUUAAUUUUAUAUAAUAUCCGCAUUCCAAAUAAAUAUACAUUUGUCUAUACAACUAACCAUCUUUUGUGGAUAGACAACCCUUCUUCAAUGUUUCCAUGCACCACAGAAGUGGAUGCACCAACACAAACACUCUACAGUGAUGAUAAUAGUAAGGUGGCUUUGUGGCCAGACAUCCCCUCUUCAUUGUUUCCAACAAUCAGAGAAGUGGAUGCACGAAUACAAUCAUUCUACAAUGAGGAUCACGGUAAUAAUGAAGUCAUAUGUGAGCAAGAAGCAACCAUCAAAGAAGUAGAUGCACCAACACAAUCAAUCUACCAUCAAGAUCAUGGUAAUGAUGAAGUCAUAUUUGAAGAAGACACAGACGAGGAAGAAUACAUGUUCCCUGGUGAAGAAUGGGAUAGAGAAGUGGAAAUCAAAACUGGAGAAGACCAGGAAUUUUACAACCUUGAUCAGUAUGAUUCCGUCUAUAGCAACAUACCAAAGAUCACACACAUGCUCAAAAUGGUACCAAAUUGCAGCUUCUGUAAUGCAAAAAAAAUUAUGUAUGAAUCGAAGGGGUUAUGCUGCAAUAAAGGACAAAUAAGACUAGCCAAUCCAGAUACACCACCUGAACUCAUGAGACUUUGGACAAGCAACGACUCUAAUGCAAGACAUUUUCGAAACAACAUAAGAUUUUUCAAUGGACACUUCUCAUUUACUAGUCUAUACUGCCACCUUGAUAGAGACACAACUGACAUGCGAACAACUGGUAUUUACACCUUUCGAGCUCAUGGUCAGAUCUAUCACAAUAUACACUCAUUUGCUGAUAUUAGGUCAAAUCCAAAGCAUUUGGAGCUAUACUUCUACGAUGAUGAUCCAAACUUAGAGCAUCGAUACCGCCAUUGUCGCGAGGAAAUGUACGAGCAAGACAAGCAUGUGAUCAGAAUAAUAACGAACAUUCUACGCGAUAACCCAUACUCUCAUUAG